GCUUAACGCGAAGAACCUUACCAGGCCUUGACAUGCACUAGACCGACUCUGAAAGGAGUCUUCCCUUCGGGGCUGGUGCACAGGUGCUGCAUGGCUGUCGUCAGCUCGUGUCGUGAGAUGUUGCGUUAAGUCGCGCAACGAGCGCAACCCCUGUCCUUAGUUGCCAUCAGGUAAAGCUGGGCACUCUAGGGAGACAAACCCUCUCUGGAGGGUGGGAAGGUGGGAUGACGUCAAGUCAGGAUGGCCCUUACGGCCUGGGCUGCACACGUGCUACAAUGCCCGGUACAGAGGGACGCAAUACCGCGAGGUGGAGACAAAUACCCGAAAAACCGGGCCCAGUUCAGAUUGCAGUCUGCAACUCGACUGCAUGAAGCCGGAAUCGCUAGUAAUGGCGUAUCAGCUACGACGCCGUGAAUACGUUCCCGGGUCUUGUACACACCG
rnacentral:rRNA from 1 species